rnacentral:lncRNA from 1 species
UAGGAAGACUUAAUUUGCUUCUGUAUUCUAUGUUUAGGUGAUCAGCCACAAUCAGUGGUUCUGGAUAGGAACUUUUCUGGAUGUGACAGUUAUGCUACUAUAUACUGGAUGUUAACAACAAUGGAUGCCACUGAGAAGUUUCUCUUUUAAAGGACUACAGGACACUGGAUUAAUGUGCGUACAGAAAGCAACACUGAAGAAUGCCACAUAA